rnacentral:lncRNA from 1 species
CUUACUGAAACCUCCAUCUCCCAGGUUCAAGCGAUUCUCAUGCCUCAGCCACUUGAGUAGCUGGGACUACAGGAUUUCGCCAUGUUCCCCAGGCUGGUCUCAAACUCCUGAACUCAGGCAGCCCGCCUACCUUGGCCUCCCAAAGUGCUAGGAUUACAGCCCAAAUGACCCUCCAAGACCCUCUGGAGGCACCCGCAGUGCUCCUUAAUUUGCAGCUCUACAGAAUGAGACCAGCGUGGCAGCCCCCUUUCAGGACAGCUCCCGAGACGAGACGCGAGAGCAGCCCCUAAAUCUCACCCAGCAAAGCCGUUUCUUCCUAACCGGGCUGGGGAGUGCCGCGCGCUGCCAGCAGAUGGCGACAGAGGAUUAGCCUGCGGAAACCGGGUAAGGGGAGGGCGGAGCUGAGGUGAGAACCCACAUCCCUCAUGCCCAGUGGCAGCAGGACGUGGAAAUGGUUUGCCCAGCCCUCACUUCUCUUGGACAGAGCUUGAGCCUUCUGGGAAACUGCUUUUCCCU